UAAGUGGAGAGUUUGAUUCUGGCUCAGGACAAACGUUGGUGGUGUGCUUAAUACAUGCAAGUCGAACGAGAAAGUCCCUUCGGGGGCAAGUACAGUGGCGAACGGGUGAGUAACGCGUAGAUAACAUGCCUUUAGCUGGGGGAUAGUCAGUCGAAAGAUUGAAUAAUACCGCAUAAGACCACAAUAUCUGAGGAUAUAGGGGUUAAAGAUUUAUCGGCUAAAGAUUGGUCUGCGUCCGAUUAGCUUGUUGGUGGGGUAAAGGCCUACCAAGGCGAUGAUCGGUAGCUGGUCUGAGAGGAUGAUCAGCCACAUUGGGACUGAGACACGGCCCAGACUCCUACGGGAGGCAGCAG
rnacentral:rRNA from 1 species